UGGUGGAGUGAUUUGUCUGGUUAAUUCCGUUAACGAACGAGACCUCGACCUACUAAAUAGGAUUAUAAACUCUUUCUUUGGGUUUAUAUAUACUUCUUAGAGGGACUAUCGGUUUGUAGCCGAUGGAAGUUCGAGGCAAUAACA
rnacentral:rRNA from 1 species